rnacentral:rRNA from 1 species
UACGGAGGAUGCGAGCGUUAUCCGGAUUUAUUGGGUUUAAAGGGUGCGUAGGCGGGAUGCCAAGUCAGCGGUAAAAAUGCGGUGCUCAACGCCGUCGAGCCGUUGAAACUGGCGUUCUUGAGUGGGCGAGAAGUAUGCGGAAUGCGUGGUGUAGCGGUGUAAUGCAUAGAUAUCACGCAGAACUCCGAUUGCGAAGGCAGCGUACCGGCGCCCUACUGACGCUGAGGCACUAAAGCGUGGGUAUCGAACAGG